rnacentral:rRNA from 1 species
CGGUAUGCUUAACACAUGCAAGUUGAACGGUUUAAUACAGUGACAUAUGGGUGAGUAACGCGUAAGUUAUCUACUUUUAGGAGGGGCACAACAUUUGGAAAUAUUUGAAAAUACCCCAUAACGCUUUUUUAAGUUAAAGAUUAAAUUCGCCUAAAAAAGGGCUUGCGUCUGAUUAGUUAGUUGGUAAGGUAAAAGCUUACCAAGACGUUGAUCAGUAGCUGUUUUGAGAAAUUUUGCAGCCACAUUGGGAUUGAGAUAAGGAACAGACUCCUACGGGAGGCAGCAGUGAGGAAUAUUUGGCAAUGAAUGAAAGUUCGACCAAGCAAUACUACGUGAAGGAUGAAGACUCGUGGGUUGUAAACUUCUUUUUUUGGCUAUGAAAUUUAAAAUAAAUGACAUAGGUUAAAGAAUAAGUGCCGGCUAAUUCUGUGCCAGCAGCCGCGGUAAUACAGGGGGCACAAGCGUUAUUUAGAAUUAUUGGGCGUAAAGCGUUCGUAGGUGGUUUAUUAAAUUUUUUAUAAAAUAUUUGGUUAUAAAAACCAUUUUUGUAUUAAAAAGUGAUAAACUUGAGUUUUUUUGAAGUAAAUGGAACUUUAAAUGGAGCAGUGAAAUGUGUUGAUAUUUAAGAGAAGGACCGUAUGCGAAGGCAAUUUACGAUUUAAAUACUGACAUUGUGGAACCAGAGUUCAGGAAGCAAAUCGGAUUAUAUACCCGAGUAGCCUUGUUGCAGUCAACGCUAAACACCAAGCUUUAUAUAUUAAUAGUAAUAGCUAUAGUUAACACUUGAAGUGUUUCGUCUGGGAAGUAUGCUUGCAAAAGUUAAACUCAAAGGAAUUGACGGGGGUCCGCACAAGCGGUGGAGCAUGUGAUUUAAUUCGAUGGUACACGAAGAACCUUACCAAGGCUUGAUAUGGUGUUUAGUUUUUGAAAAAAAAUUUGUUUAUGAUUAGGCGCUUAUAAUUAGGCGUUUAAUUAUAAAAGUACACACAAGGGUGGUGCAUGGCCGUCGUCGGUUCGUGCCGUGAGGUGUAUAGUUAAGUCUCAUAACGAACGCAACCCUUAUUUUUAGUUUUAAUCUAAAAUAACUGCCAGUGUUAAUAAAUUGGAGGAAGGAAAGGAUGAGGUCAGGUCAGCAUGCCCUUUAUGUCUUGGGCUAUACACGUGCUACAAUGGCUAAAAUAAUAAGUUGCUAUCUCGUAAGGGUGCGCUAAUCUUUUUUAAAAUUUAGUCUUAGUUCGGAUUAUAGGCUGCAACUCGCCUAUAUAAAGUUGGAAUCGCUAGUAAUCGCCAGUCAGCUAUAUGGCGGUGAAUACGUUCUCGGACCUUGUACACACCGCCCGUCACACCAUGGAAGGUGACUUGACUUGAAAUAAAGUAGUUUCUUAUAUUAUGGUUAAGUUGCUAACUGGGGUGAAGUCGUAACAAGGUA